CAUUCACGGAGAGUUUGAUCCUGGCUCAGGACGAACGCUGGCGGCGUGCUUAACACAUGCAAGUCGAACGAUGAACCGGUUUCGGCCGGGGAUUAGUGGCGAACGGGUGAGUAACACGUGGGCAAUCUGCCCUGCACUCUGGGACAAGCCCUGGAAACGGGGUCUAAUACCGGAUA
rnacentral:rRNA from 1 species